rnacentral:rRNA from 1 species
UACGUAGGGCGCAAGCGUUAUCCGGAAUUAUUGGGCGUAAAGAGCUCGUAGGCGGCUUGUCACGUCGGGUGUGAAAGCCCGGGGCUUAACCCCGGGUCUGCAUUCGAUACGGGCUAGCUAGAGUGUGGUAGGGGAGAUCGGAAUUCCUGGUGUAGCGGUGAAAUGCGCAGAUAUCAGGAGGAACACCGGUGGCGAAGGCGGGUCUCUGGGCCGAUACUGACGCUGAGGAGCGAAAGCGUGGGGAGCAAACAGG